UGUCAACCUUCCCGAUGCAUUUUCUGCAACAAUUCGUCACACGCUGUGAGUUGAUCCCUUCUGCUUCUCUCCUUCUCGGGGUGCUAAAACACCCAUUCUUAUCCAUUUCUAUCUUCUUUCUAUAAAUAGCAAAAACGAGUGUUAAAGAGAAAUGACCCCUGUUAUUUUAAUUUAGAAGGAAAUUAAGCAUAUACUAUCUACAUAGAGAAACAGAGAAAAUGUUGAUGGGGAUAAGCUUGCAAUGCAUGAUGGACUUGGUGGUAGCUGGUUUUUCCCUAAUGAUUGGAUUAGGGAUUUUUGCUUUCAUUGCUUCAAUUCUCUGCUCUGCUGCUUUUUACCAGAAUGCUAAGCAACUUUCUUGAAUCUACACCCCCUUAUGGAUUUAUUAGGCAGGGUAGAUACCAACACUACAGAGGUUAUUUAAAACCAAAAACAAAAACAAAAAAAGAUGGCAAACAAAAAUUCAAGAAAUAAAAGGGGUUCCUCCACUAUCCUUUUUACUUAAUCAGGCACAUUGUUGCUUGUGUGGCAGGAGCUGCUGCAGAGAUGAACUAACUGAUUAGCAGUAACAGUUUGCUGUGUUUGUAUUUGUAAUAGAUAGAGAGAAGUAUUUCCUCUUAGAAAAAGGCAUUUGUAUGCAAUAGUAGAAUGAAUAUGCAGUUUUGAGACGGCUAUUUUCUAUUUUUUAUAUUUUCUUGUGUUCUAGAAACUUCUUUAAUGCUUCUUCAAAAUAGCAGCAUGCUUCUUUCAAUGACAUUGAUUUUUGAAGUUGA